CGAGCGCUUCACUUCGGUGAGGAGCGGCGGACGGGUUAGUAACGCGUGGGAACAUACCCUUUUCUAAGGAAUAGCCACUGGAAACGGUGAGUAAUACCUUAUACGCCCUUCGGGGGAAAGAUUUAUCGGUGAAGGAUUGGCCCGCGUUAGAUUAGUUAGUUGGUGGGGUAAUGGCCUACCAAGACUACGAUCUAUAGCUGGUUUGAGAGGAUGAUCAGCAACACUGGGACUGAGACACGGCCCAG
rnacentral:rRNA from 1 species